UACGUAGGGGGCAAGCGUUGUCCGGAUUUACUGGGCGUAAAGAGCGCGCAGGCGGUCGUUCAAGUCGAGUGUGAAAGCCCCCGGCUCAACUGGGGAGGGUCAUUCGAUACUGAUCGACUGGAAGGCAGGAGAGGGAAGCGGAAUUCCCGGUGUAGUGGUGAAACGCGUAGAUAUUGGGAGGAACACCAGUGGCGCAAGCGGCUAUCUGGACUGACAUUGACGCUGAGGCACGAAAGCGUGGGGAUCAAACAGG
rnacentral:rRNA from 1 species